rnacentral:rRNA from 1 species
AUGGGCGCAAGCCUGACCGAGCAACGCCGCGUGGAGGAUGACGGCCUUCGGGUUGUAAACUCCUUUUCCAGGGGAUGAUGAUGACCGUACCCUGGGAAUCAGGCUCGGCUAACUCUGUGCCAGCAGCCGCGGUAAG